UGGGUCUUUGAAUUUAAAUAAAAUAAACAUGUAUAUGCAACACAAAAUAUUUAUAUUCCUUGUGUAAACAUAAUUUAAUUGAUUAGGAUUAAAAUGUUUUGUUUGAAUGUAAAAUGAACACAUUAUUCUCACAUUGAUUAAAAUUGAUUGAAUUGAAUACUUAAAGCAAUAAAAUUGGGUUUGCACACAAAACGGCACCUCCUGAGCAGCAGGGGCAGUAUAGCUCAAUGAGAAGGAAGUCAACUGCCAUAAAAGAAGAAUAAAGAUCGUUUGUUUUGGGCGCCAAAAUGAAGACUCAGCAGCAGUCAGUCAGUCAGAAGAACUCUCUCAGACGGACACCACGUUAUUAAAGUCCAUCAUCCUUUCAUGCGCUACACAGCAUUGAUAAAUGCUGAAUUUAAAAGAAUCACUACUGUCUUAUGUUCCUGUGUCACCUGGACCUCCAAUCCAAAAACCUGAUGAAACUCUUCUAUCAGAAAGGAUGACAGCUAGCAAAAAGACUUCAAACAAUUAAUGAUCAAAUGACAGAAGGCAUGGAUGAAGUCAGCAUCAGUGAGGUCAUUUGAAGACACCAAUGUUGGGAUUUGUGCUCUCAAACAACAUGCUUUUUGUGAUGAAGAAGAGGAUCUUUGUAUAGUCCUGGAAGCCAUGAAGGUGUUGCAACAUCGUGUUUGAGCUGAUGUAUGCCUUAAACCUGAGCUAUCCUGAUCUCCGCUUUAUUUUUGAGGAAAUCCAAACUGCAUUGAGAGUAACUUUAACGAACAGUUUCUUUCAGUGAAAGGAUCAGAAAGACUGUGUUGCUCAUUUUUGACUUUUUUUUAUCUGUUUUAAGUGUUUUCUCUUAUUAAAACAUUAACAGUUUGCUGCUCAGAGUCGAUUUUGGAAAUGGUUGUUGUAUUUUGUUUUUGUUGAAUCUUUGAUUAACAGUUUAUAAAUGCUGUAGCUCUGACUUUCUGAAGGAGUGAUAUUUUCCAGUUUGUAAAUCCAUUUUAUAAAUAAUAGUACUUACUGUUUUGCAUGUCUCUUUGGAAUGCAGUGUUUGUGCUUUAGCACUUCUAAAUCUACUGUGAUAGUAACUAUUUUAAACAUUUGGGUCAGUUUCACAGAUGGGGCUUUUCCUAGUCCCAGACUUUUGCAAUGCCAUAUAUCAGUGCCAUUGUUUUGUCUAAAGAUGUACUCCAGUGUUGUUUUUGUAAGGUAGGUUUGUUUGUAAACUUUAUUUUUGUAAAAAUAUCCUAAUAUAACUAGGGCCUAGUCAUGGAUUAAUCUACAACCUGUUUGGGAAAUUGCCCCUUUAUGUAUGUACUGCAUGUGCUUUUGUUCUAAUAGUUAUUG